UCUUGUCUGAUGUCUUAUUCGAAGUUUAUUGGACGCCGAGGGCCGAUCGCAGGUUAAAUACAGAAACAGAAGAAGACAGUCUCAAGUGAAGAGAUGAGAAGGUUUUGCACCGUCACGCUUGGAUUCGAAGAUGCCAUCCAAGUGGCCUGAAAGUGCCAGGGUUGCCCCAAGGUUUCCACCACCUACUAGAUGGAGCACAAAGAAAAGUUGAGUUCAAAUCAUUUUAAACAUAAUGGCAGUCCACAGCAAGGCCACUGAGCUCUGGGUUACAUUUAAACUAAUAAGGUACAUGAGGCUGGACUGUAUUGUAAAUACAGUCACAGCUAAUGGACGUUACUUGGCAUAAGGCAAAAUUAGAGGAUCAGCAGGCCAGGGGGAAACUCAGCAUAUUUCAUUUUCAGUUUUAUUAGAUACAGUAAUCACAGACCUUGUCUGGUCUGAAGGCUUUUGUAACUUAAAUUGUGCCCCGCUCAAACCUAGCUGUCAAAAAGGAAGGUUUUCCUCCUCGGCCCAGAAGGGAGUCCAUCCGAGAUGCCUUGCAAGAGGCCCUCAGGCUUUACCGCACGCGGCCUUUAUCGUCAACAAAAGGCAGCAUGCCAUAAUUAAAGGCAAUUAGCACUGCUGCAAAAAGCACUUAGUGUCCUGCCGACCAGGAGGUGCCAGAGGAGAGUGUAAUUAUGAUAGCAUGAGAUCACUGUUAACAUGCAUGGGCCAGCAUGUGAGAUUGUCUCAUUCUCCAUUCACCCUUCCGAAACGCUAGCAAUGUAUGUAUAAUACAUAAGCCACAGUCGGUAUCA